UGGGAUAGAUGAUUGGGGUGAAGUCGUAACAAGGUAGCCGUAUCGGAAGGUGCGGCUGGAUCACCUCCUUUCUAAGGA
rnacentral:rRNA from 1 species